GACGAACGCUGGCGGCGUGCUUAACACAUGCAAGUCGAACGGUAAGGCCCUUCGGGGUACACGAGUGGCGAACGGGUGAGUAACACGUGGGUAAUCUGCCCUGCACCUCGGGAUAAGGCUGGGAAACUGGGUCUAAUACCGGAUAUUCAGUUCCUGCCGCAUGGUGGGGGGUGGAAAGUUUUUCGGUGCAGGAUGAGCCCGCGGCCUAUCAGCUUGUUGGUGGGGUAAUGGCCUACCAAGGCGACGACGGGUAGCCGGCCUGAGAGGGUGAUCGGCCACACUGGGACUGAGACACGGCCCAGACUCCUACGGGAGGCAGCAGUGGGGAAUAUUGCACAAUGGGCGAAAGCCUGAUGCAGCGACGCCGCGUGAGGGAUGACGGUCUUCGGAUUGUAAACCCCUUUCAGUAGGGACGAAGCGCAAGUGACGGUACCUGCAGAAGAAGCACCGGCCAACUACGUG
rnacentral:rRNA from 1 species